GGCUGCCUGGGCUGUCGCGUCCGGCGGAGAGCAAGCGAUGAAAGGCUGCGCGGUGGGAAGGGAGAGCACGUGACGGGAGACAAGAUGGCUGCCUUUCCUUGGCACGCUAGACCAAGAAACUACAUUCAUGAACUGGAAUCAUGCAGGCUGGAAUCUGUAUCUGUGGAUUUUGGAGACUACCAUCCACUCAAACUCAUUACAGUCAUGGAAUCUAAGACAAAGAAAUUAGGUCGCAAAGGAAGCACUUCCUCGACCUCCUCUUCCUGUUCAGCGAUGGAUCCUCUGAGCAGCGUGUUGGAUGGCACUGAUCCUUUGUCACUGUUUGCCGCAACUGCAGAUCCUGUGCUGACUGGAACUAUGGAGAAUGCCAGAAAGAAACGUGACAAAGAUGACUCUCUGACUGUAGGCAGCGACUUUGAGCCCUGGUCAAGCAAACGAGGUGACAUCCUCGCUCGCUACACAACAAAUGAAAAACUCUCCAUUAAUUUGUAUAUGGGGUCUGAAAAAGGAAAAGCAUCGACCCCUGGAUCAGCAGUUUCUGAGAAGGUGCGGACAAGGCUGGAAGAGCUGGAUGAUCUUGAAGAGGGGUCUCAAAAGGAACUGUUAAACUUGACUCAGCAAGAUUAUACAAACCGGAUUGAAGAACUCAAUCAGUCUUUGAAGGAUGCCUGGGCCUCAGAUCAAAAAGUAAAGGCUCUAAAGAUAGUUAUUCAGUGUUCUAAACUUCUCUCAGACACAACCGUGAUUCAGUUUUAUCCAAGCAAAUUCGUCUUAAUAACAGACAUACUUGACACAUUUGGAAAGCUGGUAUAUGAAAGAAUAUUUUCCAUGUGUACGGAUAAUCGCAACUCCUUACCAGAUAAUUUUACUCCUGAAAACGUUGUUGAUACUGCCAAAGAAACCUGCUUGAACUGGUUCUUCAAGGUUGCUUCCAUCCGAGAACUCAUUCCCCGAUUUUAUGUGGAAGCAGCGAUACUGAAGUGCAACAAAUUUCUUUCCAAAACAGGAAUUUCUGAAUGUCUCCCACGCCUGACUUCCAUAAUCCGAGGGAUUGGAGAUCCUUUGGUUGCCGUCUAUGCUAGAGCAUAUCUCUGCAGAGUUGGGAUGGAAGUAGCUCCUCAUCUGAAAGAGAGCCUGAACAAGAACUUCUUUGACUUCCUUCUAACUUUUAAACAAAUUCAUGGGGAUACAGUUCAGAAUCAGCUGGUGGUGCAGUGCGUAGAGAUCCCAUCGUAUCUAACUCUUUAUUCUCCUGCAAUAGAUUGGAUUCUACAAUGCAUCUCUUACCGGGCUGCAGAGGUUCUACUGACCGAGAUGAUGGAAAGAUGCAAGAAGCUAGGCAACAACGCCUUGCUAUUGAAUUCAGUAAUGUCCGCCUUCAGAGCCGAAUUUAUUGCUGCAAGAUCUAUGGAUUUUAUUGGCAUGAUUAAGGAGUGUGAUGAAUCUGGUUUCCCCAAGCAUCUUCUCUUUCGCUCUCUGGGGCGGAACUUGGCCUUAGCUGACCCUCCGGAAGGUGAUCGACUUCAAAUAUUAAAUGAAGCCUGGAAAGUUAUCACAAAGUUAAAGAGCCCACAGGAUUAUAUCAACUGUGCAGAAAUCUGGGUGGAAUAUACCUGCAGACAUUUCACGAAGCGUGAGGUCAAUACGGUUUUAGCAGAUGUCAUCAAGCACAUGACGCCAGAUCGGGCGUUUGAAGAGGCCUACCCCCAGCUCCAGUCAAUAAUUCAGAAAGUUAUCACCUAUUUCCAUGACUUCGCCGUUCUAUUUUCAUUGGAUAAAUUCUUACCAUUCUUAGAUAUGUUCCAGAAAGAGAGUGUGAGAGUGGAGGUUUGCAAGUGCAUCAUGGAGGCUUUUAUUAAGCACCAGCAGGAGCCAACCAAGGACCCUGUCAUCCUCAAUGCCCUUCUACAUGUGUGCAAAACAAUGCACGAUUCUGUGAAUGCGCUGACACUAGAAGAUGAAAAACGAAUGUUGGCCUCUUUGAUCAAUGGAUUUUUAAGAAUGGUUUCGUUUGGGCGUGACUUUGAGCAGCAGCUGAGUUUUUAUGUUGAAGCCAGAUCAAUGUUUUGUAAUUUGGAACCGGUUCUCGUCCAGCUGAUUCAUAGUGUGAACCAGCUGGCGAUGGAAACGAGAAAAGUGAUGAAAGGGAAUCAUUCGAGAAAGACGGCUGCAUUUGUCAGGGCUUGUGUUGCCUUCUGCUUCAUUACAAUUCCAUCUCUAAUGAGCAUCUUCAUUCGUCUUAAUCUGUACUUGCACUCUGGACAGAUUGCUUUGGCAAACCAGUGCCUUUCUCAAGCGGAUGCCUUUUUCAAAGCGGCAAUAAGCCUUGUUCCUGAGGUACCAAAGAUGAUCAGCGUAGAUGGGAAGAUGCGCCCCUCCGAAGCAUUCCUCCUGGAAUUCCUCUGCAAUUUCUUUUCCACAUUGUUAAUCAUUCCUGACCAUCCAGAGCAAGGCGUGUUGUUUCUUGUGCGAGGCCUGCUAAACGUCAUCCAGGACUACACUUGGGAAGAUAACAGCGAUGAUAAAGUUCGGAUUUAUACAAAUGUGGUGCAUCUUCUCUCAGCGAUGAGUCAGGAGACUUACAUCUACCACGUAGACAAAGUUGAAUCCAACGAUACCUUGUAUGGUGGAGAUACCAAAUUCCUGGCAGAAACCAACAAGCUGUGUGAAACAUUAAUAGCCCAGAUCCUGGAACAUCUGAAGAACCUUGGAAAGGAUGAGACUUUAAAGCGUCAGAGCCAGCUGGCCCUCUGCCUCUUCAACAGCACCUUGGCCCACGGAGACCUGCGAAACAACAAACUCAACCAGCUUACUGUUAACCUGUGGAAUCUGGCUCAAAGGCACGGCUUUGCGGACACAAAAACCAUGGUCAAAACUUUGGACUAUGUCAAGAGGCAGAGCAAACGCCCCGAGCUAAGCCAUUUUACAGAACUGGCUGCUCGGCUUCCUCUGCAAUCCAGGACCUGACGCAUCUUCACCUGCUGGACUUUGCCAGACUGGAAGGCCGUUCUCGGCAUAGAAAACCCCCAGGCUGCAUCUUAGGCUAUUAUCGGAGUUCAAUAUCUUCUUUUCAUUUUGAAGCAUCCCUUGAUGUGCGUGACAGAUUUAUUUCCUCUGAAGCAGGAGGAAAAUGUGUCCUGACAGUGCCAUCCUUUCUGAAAUGAGGGCUUGUCUCCCACUGCACAGCUAUUAACCAUUAAAAGUGGCCAACUACAUGCCCAUGGGAAACUGAUGAGCAGGACCUGAACACGACAGCAUCCUCCCUAUUUAAUUCUACCACUCUCGGAGGAUCAGCCACCAAAGAAGCUGUGGGCACAGAUCAGAGGGAAGCCAAGGUGACUGCAGAAAAGCCAAUCUUUGGGGCAGAAUGUAAUUUGGAUGCCUCAUCAGUGCCGUGUGGGAAUAUAACAGACUUCAGUAUGUGGAGGGGUUGUGUGGGCAUAUGAACCAAGCCAGAGUUAGCUAGGCAAACCCAGUGCAGAAUAUUUUAUACAAAGCAAGUAAUGUGGGGCUGAUGCUUCUAGAGUGUUUCCUUUUCCAAUUUUUUUUUAAGCCGUAGCUCUUCCGAUAGUAAUAGGUAUCCGUUAAAUAGUGUGUUUGUGCUGAACCUACUGGAAACAUCUGGUUACCUAGAGGGUAGGGUUGCAACUCGCUAGAAAAAAAUACCUGGUUUACUUUUGUGCCUUUCAAAGGUUUGACAGGCAGAAGUCGAUCAGCCGCUACUUCCUGCAGAUCAAGCUGUUCUGACAGGCAUGUGCAGCUUCAAAAGCUGGCAAGCCAACCCAGUGGUAGGUAAAUGCCAUUGGCCCUCUCCUGGAUGAGACCGUAUAGGCUGCCCCUUGCCCAGCCAUAGCGCAUGCUGCCAAUCUGUGUGUAACCCUCAGCACUCCAUCAGAGCUGCCCAUCAGCACUUGAUCAAAAGAUUGCUUUCCUUUUCCCCCUAAAUAAGGUUCUGUGCCUGCAGAGGGGAAAUCUGUGACACUCCAGCUAGUAUUGGACUCGACUGCAGUCAGGGAAGCCGCUAGACAGAAAGAAUGAAAGUUGAAGUCCAGCAAUAUCUGGAGGGCCACAGGUUCCCUACCCUUGCUCUGGGCUAGGGGUGGGGAACCUUUCUCAGCCUGAGGGCCACAUUCCCUUCUGGGAGCCACAUGCCAGUGGUGAGCAGGGCCAGUGGCAGAAGUGGGUAGAGCAAUGAAUGCAAAGGUUAACUUUAUACACUAGGCUAGUUGCUACAUAUGUACACACACUGUUCUCUAUGGAGAGAAGGGAGAGGCAGGAUGAGAGAUCACAGUCACCAUUCCCCAGCCAGGCAAAAAUCACUCGGGGUACAAAGCAGGGCUGGAGGGCUGCAUUUGGUUCCCUAUCCCUGCCCUAUCCCUUACUUAUCAAACUGAAGUCCAGCUUUCCUCGUUACUAACUUCAUAACAACACUUUUGUGACACCUACCCUUUGGAAGUCCCUCCCUUUAAACAUUACACAGGUGCCAUCUCUGUUACCUUUUCCGUGCCUACUGAAUACAUUCCUCUUUCAACAAGCCUUUUAAGUAGAGACCUUAUCCCAGUCUGUGUCUGAAUGGCUUUUUGUGAUGUUUUUAAAGAUACUUUGUUUUUAAGAUGUUUUUAGAGUUUUGAGCCUUGUUUGCUACCC